GGGGAAAAGGGGCGGGGUGCUAACACAUGCAAGUCGAACGGGAAUCUUCGGAUUCUAGUGGCGGACGGGUGAGUAACGCGUAAGAAUCUAACUUCAGGACGGGGACAACAGUUGGAAACGACUGCUAAUACCCGAUGUGCCGCAAGGUGAAACCUAAUUGGCCUGGAGAAGAGCUUGCGUCUGAUUAGCUAGUUGGUGGGGUAAGAGCCUACCAAGGCGACGAUCAGUAGCUGGUCUGAGAGGAUGAGCAGCCACACUGGGACUGAGACACGGCCCAGACUCCUACGGGAGGCAGCAGUGGGGAAUUUUCCGCAAUGGGCGAAAGCCUGACGGAGCAACGCCGCGUGAGGGAAGAAGGUCUUUGGAUUGUAAACCUCUUUUCUCAAGGAAGAAGUUCUGACGGUACUUGAGGAAUCAGCCUCGGCUAACUCCGUGCCAGCAGCCGCGGUAAUACGGGGGAGGCAAGCGUUAUCCGGAAUUAUUGGGCGUAAAGCGUCCGCAGGUGGUCAGCCAAGUCUGCCGUCAAAUCAGGUUGCUUAACGACCUAAAGGCGGUGGAAACUGGCAGACUAGAGAGCAGUAGGGGUAGCAGGAAUUCCCAGUGUAGCGGUGAAAUGCGUAGAGAUUGGGAAGAACAUCGGUGGCGAAAGCGUGCUACUGGGCUGUAUCUGACACUCAGGGACGAAAGCUAGGGGAGCGAAAGGGAUUAGAUACCCCUGUAGUCCUAGCCGUAAAACGAUGGAUACUAGGCGUGGCUUGUAUCGACCCGAGCCGUGCCGAAGCUAACGCCGUAAAGUAUCCCGCCUUGGGGAGUACGCACGCAUAGUGUGAAAACUCAAAGGGAAUUGGACCGGGGGGCCCGGCACAAGGCGGUGGAAG
rnacentral:rRNA from 1 species